rnacentral:rRNA from 1 species
GACGAACGCUGGCGGCGUGCUUAACACAUGCAAGUCGAACGGUGAAGCGCCUUCCUUUUUGGUGGGUGUGGAUGAGUGGCGAACGGGUGAGUAACACGUGAGUAACCUGCCCCCUUCUUCUGGAUAACCGCAUGAAAGUGUGGCUAAUACGGGAUAUUCUGGGUCUGUCGCAUGAUGGGUCUGGGAAAGAUAUUGUUUCGGUGGGGGAUGGGCUCGCGGCCUAUCAGCUUGGUGGUGGGGUGAUGGCCUACCAAGGCGGUGACGGGUAGCCGGCCUGAGAGGGUGGACGGUCACACUGGGACUGAGACACGGCCCAGACUCCUACGGGAGGCAGCAGUGGGGAAUAUUGCACAAUGGGCGCAAGCCUGAUGCAGCGACGCCGCGUGAGGGAUGGAGGCCUUCGGGUUGUGAACCUCUUUCGCCAGUGAAGCAGGCCUGCCUCGUUUGUGGGUGGGUUGACGGUAGCUGGAUAAGAAGCGCCGGCUAACUACGUG